AGCUAAUAGAUACCCGGGUAGUCCACGCCCUAAACUAUGAUUACUAGGUGUGGGAGGAUUCGACCCCUCCGUGCCGAAAGACUAAACGCAUUAAGUAAUCCGCCUGGGUAGUACGAUCGCAAGAUUAAAACUACAAGGAAUAGACGGGGACCCGACACAAGCGGUGGAGCAUCUGGUUUAAUUCGACAGUAAGCGAAGAACCUCACCAGGACUUGACAUCCCGAGAAGACUGCCGAAAGGUGGUUGUGCCGCAAGGAACUCGGUGACAGGUGCUGCAUGGUUGUCGUCAGCUCGUGCCUUGAGGUGUU
rnacentral:rRNA from 1 species